rnacentral:tRNA from 4 species
GCCGAAGUGGCGGAAUGGUAUACGCGCGAGACUUAAAAUCUCGUGGAGCUUGCUCUAUGUGGGUUCGAGUCCCACCUUCGGCA